CCUACGGGGUGCAGCAGUGGGGAAUAUUGCACAAUGGGCGAAAGCCUGAUGCAGCAACGCCGCGUGAGCGAUGAAGGCCUUCGGGUCGUAAAGCUCUGUUCUCAAGGAAGUUAAUGACGGUACGUGAGGAGGAAGUCCUGUCUAACUACGUGCCAGCAGCCGCGGUAAUACGAAGGGGGCUAGGGUUAUCCGGAGUUACUGGGCGUAAAGGGUGCGUAGGUGGUUUCUUAAGUCCGAGGGGAAAGGCUAGGGCUAAACCGUAGUAUGCCUUUGACACUGGGGAACUUGAGUGCAGGAGAGGAGGGUGGAAUUCGUAGUGUAGCGGUGAAAUGCGUAGAUAUUAGGAAGAACACCAGUUGCGAAGGCAGCUCUCUGGACUGUAACUGACACUGAGGCACGAAAGCGUGGGGAGCAAACAGGAUUAGAUACCCUUGUAGUC
rnacentral:rRNA from 1 species